rnacentral:rRNA from 1 species
GACAUAGGUGGCGAACGUUAUCCGGAUUUAUUGGGUUUAAAGGGUGCGUAGGCGGCUUUGUAAGUCAGUGGUGAAAUACUCCAGCUUAACUGGAGGGGUGCCAUUGAUACUGCGGAGCUUGAGUACAGAUGAGGUAGGCGGAAUUGACGGUGUAGCGGUGAAAUGCAUAGAUAUCGUCAAGAACACCGAUAGCGAAGGCAGCUUACUGGGCUGUAACUGACGCUGAUGCACGAAAGUGUGGGGAUCAAACAGG